AGAUUGAACGCUGGCGGCAUGCCUUACACAUGCAAGUCGAACGGCAGCACGGGAGCAAUCCUGGUGGCGAGUGGCGAACGGGUGAGUAAUACAUCGGAACGUGCCCAAUCGGUGGGGGAUAACGCAGCGAAAGCUGUGCUAAUACCGCAUAAGAUCUACGGAUGAAAGCAGGGAUCGCAAGACCUUGCGACGAAUGGAGCGGCCGAGUGGACAGUAGUUAGGUAGUUGGGUAGAGGUAAAGGCUACGACCAAGCCUUGAUCUGUAGC
rnacentral:rRNA from 1 species